UCCUUCGGGAGCACCGGCGGACUGCUCAGUAACACGUGGACAACCUACCCUCGGGUGGGGGAUAACCUCGGGAAACUGAGGCUAAUACCCCAUAGGCCUCGGAUACUGGAAGGUUCCGAGACCGAAAGCUCCGGCGCCCGAGGAUGGGUCUGCGGCCUAUCAGGUAGUUGGUGGUGUAAAGGACCACCAAGCCUACGACGGGUACGGGCCCUGAGAGGGGGAGCCCGGAGAUGGACUCUGAGACACGAGUCCAGGCCCUACGGGGCGCAGCAGGCGCGAAACCUUCGCAAUGUGCGAAAGCGCGACGAGGGGAGCCCGAGUGCCCUUCCUUUCGGGAGGGCUUUUCUGGAGCCCAAAAAGCUCCAGGAAUAAGGGCUGGGCAAGACGGGUGCCAGCCGCCGCGGUAAUACCCGCAGCUCGAGUGGUGGCCACUAUUAUUGAGCCUAAAGCGUCCGUAGCCGGACCCGUAAAUCCCUGGGUAAAUCCUGGCGCUCAACGUCAGGAAUUCCGGGGAGACUGCGGGUCUUGGGACCGGGAGAGGCCGGAGGUACUCCCGGGGUANGGGUAAAAUCCUGUAAUCCCGGGGGGACCACCUGUGGCGAAAGCGUCCGGCUUGA
rnacentral:rRNA from 1 species